rnacentral:rRNA from 1 species
AUUGAACGCUGGCGGCAGGCCUAACACAUGCAAGUCGAGCGGAUGAAGGGAGCUUGCUCCUGGAUUUAGCGGCGGACGGGUGAGUAAUGCCUAGGAAUCUGCCUGGUAGUGGGGGAUAACGUCCGGAAACGGGCGCUAAUACCGCAUACGUCCUGAGGGAGAAAGUGGGGGAUCUUCGGACCUCACGCUAUCAGAUGAGCCUAGGUCGGAUUAGCUAGUUGGUGGGGUAAAGGCCUACCAAGGCGACGAUCCGUAACUGGUCUGAGAGGAUGAUCAGUCACACUGGAACUGAGACACGGUCCGGACUCCUACGGGAGGCAGCAGUGGGGAAUAUUGGACAAUGGGCGAAAGCCUGAUCCAGCCAUGCCGCGUGUGUGAAGAAGGUCUUCGGAUUGUAAAGCACUUUAAGUUGGGAGGAAGGGCAGUAAGUUAAUACCUUGCUGUUUUGACGUUACCAACAGAAUAAGCACCGGCUAACUUCGUG